rnacentral:tRNA from 1 species
UCCUCGAUAGCUCAGUAGGUAGAGCACGCGGCUGUUAACCGCGCUGUCGUAGGUUCGAGUCCUACUCGGGGAG